rnacentral:rRNA from 1 species
UACGAAGGGUGCAAGCGUUAUUCGGAGUUACUGGGCGUAAAGAGCGCGUAGGCGGCUUUUUAAGUCAUUUGUUAAAUCUCCCGGCUUAACCGGGAACGUGCAAGUGAUACUGAAAAGCUAGAGUAUAAGAGAGAGAAGCGGAAUUCUCGGAGUAGCGGUAAAAUGCGUAGAUCGCGAGAGGAACAGCGGAGGCGAAGGCGGCUUCUGGGCUUAUAACUGACGCUCAAGUGCGAAAGCGUGGGGAGCAAUCAGG